AUCACUUCUUGGCCUUUUGGCUAAGAUCAAGUGUAGUAUCUGUUUUUAUCAGUUUAAUAUAUCUUUUCUCUAAAAAUAUUUUAUUUAUUUUAUUUGAAAGGCAGAGAGAGAGAGAGAAUCAUUUGCGGGUUCACUCUCCAGAUAGCCGCAAUAACCAGGGCUACCCCAG
ensembl:snRNA U2 U2 spliceosomal RNA